rnacentral:tRNA from 1 species
GUGGACGUGCCGGAGUGUUUAUCGAUCAUGACUAGAAAUCAUGUGGGCUUUGCCCGUGCAGGUUCGAAUCCUGCCCGUUCACA